rnacentral:tRNA from 1 species
GGGGCUGUAGCUCAGCUGGGAGAGCGCGGCGCUGGCAGCGCCGAGGUCACGGGUUCGAGUCCCGUCAGCUCCA